rnacentral:lncRNA from 1 species
UUCACUUAUACUUGAUACGCCCUCGCUUCACUUAUUGUCGUCUCUACUUCGUGAUACGCUUAUACUUGUUCGACACUUCUACUUCACUUGCGACCUCUUCUACUUCACUUGUUAGACGCUUCUACUUCAUAAAGACCACUUCUACUUGAUACACACUCAGUCGUAGUUGGAUGUAUGUCUGUGCUUAUAUAGGUACAUAUAAGUAAUGGUUGAAAGACUUAGGAAGGCUCGUCUGCCCUAUUUCCUUUUCUUCGUUGAGAUGUGGUCUGGUGGGAUCGGAUGGCCGUCCGAAGGUCGUUUGACUCAUUAGUUAUAUAUUAUUUAUAUGAGUAUGGACAUAUAGGAAUUAUCUAGUCAGUUCAGUUAAGAGUCUCUACCUCUAGUCUAUACUUACAUUAGAAAGCCACUAUUGGGAAGUCUCUACCUCUAGUUCAACACUUACACACUACCCACUAUUUGGAAGACUCUACCCACUAUUUGGGAUGCAUCUUCAGGACACGGCCUUCUCCGUCGUCUAGUUGGUAACCAGAGUCUCCUGUAGGGAGAGCGGACAUUGUGUGUAUAGAUCUAUACGGGAUUGACACCCCCGCNNNNNNNNNNNNNNNNNNNNNNNNNNNNNNNNNNNNNNNNNNNNNNNNNNNNNNNNNNNNNNNNNNNNNNNNNNNNNNNNNNNNNNNNNNNNNNNNNNNNNNNNNNNNNNNNNNNNNNNNNNNNNNNNNNNNNNNNNNNNNNNNNNNNNNNNNNNNNNNNNNNNNNNNNNNNNNNNNNNNNNNNNNNNNNNNNNNNNNNNNNNNNNNNNNNNNNNNNNNNNNNNNNNNNNNNNNNNNNNNNNNNNNNNNNNNNNNNNNNNNNNNNNNNNNNNNNNNNNNNNNNNNNNNNNNNNNNNNNNUACUUUUUACCACAUAACACUGACCAGUCUUGGUAGAAGGCUGCUUUUAUUAAAGAAAAUAUAGGAUUUUCUGGAAAGAACUCUAAUACACAGAAAACACUUAAACUACUACUUAUUAAAGUUAUUUGAUUGAAAUGUCACUAAAUACUUAUGAACUCACCAGCAUUUGUAAAAAAUGCUGAUACUCGCUUUUCAAAUAACUUGUAUUCUCAGGUCAGCAAUUAGACAGGUACAUCCCCGGAGCUGUUGAUGAAGAUGGCUUAGUACCACACUGUAUUCAUUCUAUUACUUGUAUUACUUCGAUGUAUUGUAAUGUAACCAUGUAAAACUAUUACUAUUAAUGCAAUGUUUUGUUGUACUUUGAUUACUAUAAUGCAUGUGUUGUGAUACUUGACAUGACGUCAUCCACCCCAGAACGUUUCCGCCGUUCCGGUUUUGGGGUGUGACAGAUUGGUAUCAGAGCAUUGUUUAUAGUGAGCUAAGUAUAUCAAUUCAUAAAAGAUAUACAACCUAUAAAUACAAAGGGAUAAAACACUCUGACCAAGAAUUAUACUUUAAAAUAUAACCAUAUUUUACCAAAGUAUAAUAACAUCCAGAAUCUAAACACUCGAACAAAAGUAUCACAAGAAGAACAAUAAUAAAAGUCUUCGGAUGUUGAGCACUACAGUCAAACCUGGGCAAUUAUGUAAUCGUAAGCUGGGAUAAAUGUAACCUGAUCAACUACAUUUAUCCGAGAUGCGAUGAACGUGUGCUUGGGAGUGGUAGUGGCGUACAACAGGUCUGAAACUUACCAAUUAGGGAUGCUAGAGCCAUACAUAGAGUUAAAAUACUAUAGGAGUAUUUUAGAAUGCUAAAAGAUUCACACUAAUCCCAUAAUCAUAUUCAGAAGAUAAGAAUCAAACACGAAUUAAAAUACCAUAGGGGUAUUUUAGGAAUCAUAAACAACCUUGCGUGAAUAACUAAAAAGAUCCUUAUUGAUAUACCUACAACUACAGAGGGUAUACUUCCAAGGUUAUAUAUAAUAAGGAUCCCAUAGGCUAAGAAUGUGUGGUUUCGCUCUAUUUCCUUUUCCUCGUUGGGAUGUGGUUCUAGAGUAGUAUCACAUAUUCGAAGGCCUAUCGGAUCUAAGCUAUAUAUGAUUUGUAUACCCUGUGUAAUCGUAGCAGGACUCGAUAUGGAUCAUCCAGUGGAAUGUUAAUAAUCUCUUAGGAUUCUUUAUACAUUUCCAUUCUCGCGCAAACCCUGUAGACAACCCUACCCACUUCAUUGCUUGACAGAAGAGUUGAAGUCGACCCCAAAGAAGUUCAUUGAGAAGAUUUCCUGUUCGGAAAUAAAUGAACUGGGCGAGACUAUUGAAUACACCAAGUGCCCAUAUUCUUUUAGGGACAUCGGUGAGGAAUUCGCCUAAACUUUGGAGAUUCCCAGUCAUCCAUCAUGAAGUGAUGACGCCCAAAGUCGGAAUCGGAAGGAAGGCGGAGUAGAAAUUCAAUAUGUCCAUACGAGAAGAGAACCCUAGGAAACUACCCGAAUUAAACCAACGCCGAAUCCAGUCAAAGACACGAGGCAGACAACGGGAACCGGUACAUGGGACCCAAGAAGUGUCUUUUUCCUCAUGUUCCUCACGCUAAUACACCCAUAAAAUAAUACAAUUUAGUGAGUUAGUGGUUACACUACUCACACUAUGUGUUAGGUAAGUCGUUGAUUCCCGUUGCCAGUUACACGAUUAGGGCGGGUCCCCGCACCUUAUUGAGAGUGCUUAACCAUGAGCUUUCAUGAGCCGCUCUUUCCGCAGUUCGUUCCGAACCGUUCUUAAAUCUCUCCAGGCCGGAGAGUGGAAUCUUUCCCAGUAUAAAAGGUAACUUAGUAGGAACGACUCGCAUCUUAUGGCCUUUUCCGAUACUCACACUCCUACCUCGAUUACCAAGACUACAUCAUAGGGAUGUAGGUCGACGUUCAAACGACCAGUACCCGAGGCACGGGAAAAAUUAUGCCUAAUGCGAUCGGGACAGAAAUGUCCAGGGUUAACCAUCGUCUCUCAUUGCCUUGUAUUCUUUUCCGUGUAGGAAAACCAUGCCACCGAAGAGGCGUAACCNUCUCUUAUUCGAUGAAGCUACGUUCCAAGCUGCAGUCUCAGCAGCCGUAGCAGCUGUCAUGGCUCACCUGAAUGCUAACACCGCCAAUGUUAGCAAGGGCCCGGUCGGGAUUUCCAAUCCUGGCACUAGACAACAACGACCAACACUUCCAUACUCAGCCACCUGAAAACCUCACUCAAACCCACUAAAGAGAAAACUCAAGAUAGAGGUGGGAAGUACCUCGGCUCAAGGACCUUCCGAAGGGCAACGAGCUGAGGCAGUCUAUACCCCUGUCAAUCCUUCCCUCCCGACCUCAAGAAGACCAUACCUAGGAGACCUUCCCCACUGCAGCAAGUGCAGCUACCAUCAUCAUGGUGCCUGCCGGGAACUCUAUUGUGCUAGGUGCCACAUGUUGGGGCAUACUGCUCGCGUCUGCAGAACCCCGGUUGAGUUCAUUACAUCAACCACCAAUGUGGCGACCCGUACAGUUUGCCACCUAUGUGGUAAAAUGGGACACUUCAAGAAGGACUGCCCAACCGAAGAGAAAGACAAAGACACAGAAGGAGCCUGACACUACUGCUUAGGGAGAAGCGGCAAGGAACUCAUUAGAUUUUGGUACGUCUCUCGAUCUCGGAUAACUAAACUAAAUACAUUAAAAGACUAAUUCAGUGUAAAUUCUUCCCAGUAAGGCGAAAGUCGCAGCACUGUUAUAAAAUUUAAAAUUCAUUAGGUAAAACUAUAAUGACUAAACAUAUACGUUACGGCCAUGUAUAUUUAAGAUGGACAGACCUAGAGUGAGCGAAUGCCGCCUCAUUUCCUGUUCCUCGUUUGGUUGUGGAUUUAGGGCGGGGUCGCUCAGUCAACAGUCCUCCCCACCUUAAAUAUACAUGACUAGUAUAUGUGAGGCGAUUAUAGAAAUGCCUUGUGAGAAUUCUUUCAUGAAAAGGUACUCUAUUCGGAAACACUUAGAAAUCUCUAUAGUUCCGCGUCGACUCUAUCGGUCCAAGUAUCCGCGGUAGCGAUACAUAGGACGAAACCCGAGACGCCUAGAACUUGUGUGCCUGUUCGGAACAUAACUCUAUCGAUCUUCAUCAUAUAUCAUGUCGAAGUAUGCCAGCUUCAACGACUCUAUUGAUCGUGGUUCGACUUCGUGUAACCAUGCGUGCAUUCUUGGUGCUGUGUAAAAAGAACUUUCUCCAUAGCCAUGUCGGCAAAUAAAGGUUCUUCCGAACCUAAACCUAACACAAAUAAUCAAACCUAAUGCGAUCCGUCAAUCGUCCCUCUUAUCUCAAACCUUCCGAAGUACCCAAGGGAGGGUACCAUACAACGAUAACCGACCUCUCAUAGUCAGAUAAACACCGAAGAGAAAGGCGCUGCAGGUACUCUAAGAAGACGACCACCAUCCAAAGCAUACUCCGUAGAUUCCCCAGGAGAACCUUCGCACCUUGCACAUCAGGUUCGUGAACCUAGAGAAUAGAACUCAUGAGACUGACCACUAUAACCAGGUAUACGCUGGCAUACAUCAAGUAUGGGCGGUUAAGCCAAGCAUGAGCUCUACCACGGACCUCUUCGCAAAACACUUUCACCCUAUUCCAUGACAUAGGAGUUGGAGUCAAGAGAAUCACUGCAGGUUGAGCGAGUAAAGUUCCGAGUGAUGAAACCAUAUACCCACUAGAUUUUACCUAGACUGAGAAAACUCAGAACCUUCGGAAGAGUAGUUGCAGUAGAUGCUCGCACUACUCAAGCACCUUGUCCACCCAGUUAUAGACAAGUGGUGCUUAUCAUCCUCCACCCUCUCGUAUGGAGGAAAUCGUCGUCGCCCUGUAGACGAUAGACUUCAUUCUCCGAAGUGAACACUAGAAUACCGAGAACCCAUAGGAUAACCUUCGCAGACAAGAAUAUUUGGUCAAGUGUGAAAGUAGUUGCGUUAAAUCUCAUGACCCGGAUCCUGAAGAGAUCAUAGGCUUGACACCAGCCCUGGUGUCAGUCGAAGGGUUAUGCAGGAACAUGCACUUUCCACGCUAGAAUGAACCACAGUCUUAGAGAUUCCUUGGACUAUUAGGUGUUCCACGAAUACUAUCUCACGCAGAGAUAAUAGAACCACCUCCCGAGAUAGUCCAACGCUCGUUUAGUGAAACCCUAUCUCCUCGACCCUCAGGGUUUCCGUAUCUUAAGCAUCAUUAGUGCAGGUCCAUUUUGCACGAGUUUGGGAUAGACACUCUAUAGCAAACCGAUGACCAUAGUCACACAAUCCUCACGGCAAUCUAGAAAGUCUCUAUCAGCCAGUUGAAAGAAAACACGAAACCGAAGACCACCCGAGCUUCCUAAGGACUAACCUGAAGGACUACACAUCCAGUACAAGUGAGAACGUUAGGAACUUCAGAAUGGCGAUCACGCCAGUGUUGAUCUUGCCAUAGAAGUACACUAUGUUCUUAGUACUGAAAAGCUCUACUCCUUUCCGAGAGCUUAGGACCAUCCGAGAAUCCUCAUGGAGACAUGGUCCCACCCUUUUCAGACCACUACUACUUUCAGAUAUACCACAAGGUUCACAUUCGAUCGAUCCACUUCUUAGACUUGAUACGUGAUUUCCCGACAACACUUUUCGUGCCUCACACAUCUUGAUAGAAAUCAUUGAGGACCCUGACUUCAUAAAUACACCAGUAGGAACCCACUACCUACACUAGACGGAAUCCGCAUCCCGUACGUGAAGGUCUGUCGGAAUGACAAACACAGACUAGAGUUCACUUGGGAAUGCGAGGAAAACCGUAUAGGAAGUACCCUCCUACCUCUACUUGGCCAUUCAUACCUACUUCCUUGCCUAAACCUGAAUUUCGGGACGAAAUUCCCUCUAACGGGGGAAUGAUGUGACAACCCAAGUUGUUCCGUUACAUUUCCCCGUUACCGUUAACGGAAUAUUCCAGUGUAUAAAAGUUCCGUUACUUAGAGGGCGUCAAUUUAAUAAACAUUCCAUUUGGUUGCAAUUUAACAUGCCGUUAAGUCGUGAUAAAAGGAAAUAUAAACACAGGACACACAUUUCCAUUUAUUUGGAAAAUGUCAAGUUUUAUUAUUACGACCACUAAAUCGGGUGCGACCAAAAGCCCCGUAUAACGGCAGUAUUGGGUAGGAUUCCACUGAGCUCCAACUCCCACCCAUAUAUAAAGGGGAGUAAACUCCAUUUGGAGCUUUUCCACCCUCUCUCUCUAUACUCUCUCUCUAGACUCGUUUUCGCCCCGAAUCCGCAACCAAACGCUUCCAAAUCGUAAGUCCGCUUACCCUAGCUUGUUCUAAACAUUACUAGCUGUAGUUAUAGCCCAAAAACCACCCAAGAAGGCAUGGGAUAAGGAGUUUACGGCCCAGGAACACUCUAGGGCCGUAAACCCCUAAAAUGGUGCCAAACAUGCCUUUAAACUUGCCCUUAAGCUUGGAAACUAAUUAGGGAUCUAGCCUAGGAGUGUUUAAACAUCAAAACUCAAUGAAUUGGGGCAUAAAAGUGAGUUUACGGCCCAAGCACAUGCUUAGGCCGUAAACCCCUCAAAACCUUGUCUAAAUGCCCCCAAAACACUCCCAAACCACACUAGGGCUUAACACAUAAAUUAAGGGCUUAGUUUUUUGGCUUUAGAUCACUUAAACACAUCAAAAUGAAGGAUAAAAAUGAGUUUACGGCCCAGGUAUAUACCAAGGCCGUAAACUCCCCAAAACAUGCCCAAAAGGUGGUUUUCGCCCCCCAAAUGACCUUAGGCUAUUUCUAUAAAAUGCUAGGGAGGAUUUAAGGACUCAAACUCAUGAAAUGGUGGGGUAAAAAGGAGUUUACGGCCCAAGCAAGUGUCUAGGUCGUAAACUCCCUAAAACACAUGCAAAUGUUAGAUUUAAUCCCCCAAAAUAUCAUCACACUUCAUUAGAAAUUGCUAGAAAGGUAAUAGGGGCUUGAAACUUCACAAAACACUAAGGGUGAGAGUUUACGGCCGUAAACUCCCUUAGGAGUGUCCCUAGGCCAUAAACUCCAAGUUAGUGCCCUUAGAAGCCUCAAACCCACUUAUGCCUUUUGGGAAAAGUGCUUAGAAUAAUUCCAUGAUGCAAGUAGAAGCCUUAAACACCCAAGAACCCCUCACCAUGAGUUUACGGCCGUAAACUCAUGGUGAGAUGUCCCUGGGCCGUAAACUAGUUGAUAAGGGUGUAUUCUUGGAGGGUAAACUUCAUUCCUUAGCCAUACACACCCUUAAACGCUACCCGGGACACCCAAACACUUAGCCAAAGUGUUUUCCGCUCCUGUGAGCGCGUAUACUUGUUUAAUUAAUAUUAAAUGUGCUAAUUGUAUUUGAACAUAUGUUAGCAUAUGUUAAAAUAGGUCAUUGUGUGUGUUCAAGUCCUUGCGUGACACCGAACGCCCAAACGGCACCUUCGUCGGACCUACUUACACCAGGUGAGUUCAUACCCCUGAAUGAACCUUUUUAACGCUUUUAAAUGUUUUUAUAGGGGGGAUUACAAGUUAAACAUGCCAGUUAUCAUAUCAAUCACAUGUGAUUGAUAACCUGCAUGCACAAGAUUUUACCACUGUGCACUGUUUACCGAGUAGGACACUAUAAUGGUUUUAUAUUGUUUCAAAACUCUUACUUAUACUGUUUUAACUAGAUUCAUUCUAAACUGGUUUAUGAAAGAUUUUCCAAGAUUUUCAAACAUAUUUUGCAAAAGAAUACAAUUUGUGAUUUUCUUUGUACAUAAAUGCUUUUCAUCAAAGAUUCCCUCUUUCGACGUAUACUUUUACUUGUUAAAUACUGCGGCUUCGCUUAUACUUAUUUUAUACUCCUACUCUGCAACGCUUUCACAUAUACUGGCAGUCGCUUAUACCUGGUGGACGCUUAUACUUAUUCAUACUCUUACUUAGAGAUACAACUCUACUUCACUUAUACUUGAUAUCGACUCUACUUCACUUAUACUUGAUACGCCCUCGCUUCACUUAUUGUCGUCUCUACUUCGUAAUACGCUUAUACUUGUUCGACACUUCUACUUCACUUGCGACCUCUUCUACUUCACUUGUUAGACGCUUCUACUUCAUAAAGACCACUUCUACUUGAUACACACUCAGUCGUAGUUGGAUGUAUGUCUGUGCUUAUAUAGGUACAUAUAAGUAAUGGUUGAAAGACUUAGGAAGGCUCGUCUGCCCUAUUUCCUUUUCUUCAUUGAGAUGUGGUCUGGUGGGAUCGGAUGGCCGU